CAAAAAUCAAUAUGCGGUCGUCGUUUCUUCCCGCUGUGGCUGAUCAACUUCUCCGAGACAUCCAAAAAACUUCCUGAUGACCUGCUUAUUGCGCUGAAGUUUGUCUUCGGGCCUUGUGCGCUGCAAGCUUUGGACCUCGUCGAUCAGCAC